GUGGGGAAUAUUGGGCAAUGGGCGAAAGCCUGACCCAGCAACGCCGCGUGAAGGAAGAAGGUUUUCGGAUUGUAAACUUCUGUCCUCAGGGAAGAAGGAAGUGACGGUACCUGAGGAGGAAGCCCCGUCUAACUACGUGCCAGCAGCCGCGGUAAUACGUAGGGGGCGAGCGUUGUCCGGAAUGACUGGGCGUAAAGGGCGCGUAGACGGCUGUCUAAGUCUGGAGUGAAAGUCCUGCUUUCAAGGUGGGAAUUGCUUUGGAGACUGGAUGGCUUGAGUGCGGAAGAGGUAAGUGGAAUUCCCAGUGUAGCGGUGAAAUGCGUAGAGAUUGGGAGGAACACCAGUGGCGAAGGCGACUUACUGGGCCGUAACUGACGUUGAUGCGCGAAAGCGUGGGGAGCGAACAGGAUUAGAUACCCUAGUAGUCC
rnacentral:rRNA from 1 species